GAAACCAAACAGGUGUGUCAUAUAAAAUGGAGGCAUGUGAGCUAAUGUUUGAGAGUUUCUCCCUUCCGAAUGCUGUGUGGAAACUGUCAGCUUGAAGCUGGUGGGAGACGCCUCUCCGAGGAAGGCUGUCGGAAACAGUUGCAAAGGUGCUUCACUGUCAGAGGCUCUCUCUGUCCCCACUUUUUCGAACUAUUUAAGUGGGAUGAAGCUUUAAAUGUCCAAUAUUUAUAAAGGAAGGAAGAUGGAAAGCUUUUUCUAUACAGCACUUUUCUAAGCAUUGGCACUUUAAUUCGGCCACGGGAGCAGCAGUAUUGUCCUUAGCGUUUGAAGUCAGAAAUCGACACGCAUGCUGUGAAGAGACUUUAAAAAUUUUAUAUUUGAUCUCACAUCAAUGGAGAAUUGACUUCGGGAUUUUCUACAUUUAGUAUGUUUGUUUAUUAUGAAUUAUUGUUGAAUAUGAGUAUAAAUCAAUUAUUCUUUCUUUAAA